ACCUUACCAAGNCUNGACAUAUACAGGAAAAGNGUAGAAAUACGCUCCCCGCAAGNUCUGUAUACAGGUGGNGCAUGGUUGUCGUCAGCUCGUGUCGUGAGAUGUUGGGUUAAGUCCCGCAACGAGCGCAACCCUCGUCCUAUGUUGCCAGCACGUAAUGGUGGGAACUCAUGGGAUACUGCCGGGGUCAACUCGGAGGAAGGUGGGGAUGACGUCAAAUCAUCAUGCCCCUUAUGUCUUGGGCUUCACGCAUGNUACAAUGGCCGGUACAGAGGGCUGCAAUACCGUAAGGUGGAGCGAAUCCCAAAAAGCCGGUCUCAGUUCGGAUUGAGGUCUGCAACUCGACCUCAUGAAGUCGGAGUCGCUAGUAAUCGUAGAUCAACAACGCUACGGUGAAUACGUUCCCGGGCCUUGUACACACCGCCCGUCANGUCACGAAAGUCGAUAACACCCGAAGCCGGUGGCCUAACCGCANGGAG
rnacentral:rRNA from 1 species